UGUUUUCAUCAUAUUUUCUUACAGCACACACACUGUGUCCUGGCAGUAUUUAUUAAUCAGAGCCGCCCAGACAGAGAUGGAUGUGUUCCAUUUUGAUAUCGGUGCAGUUUUCUUAAGAGCAGAGCGACUGAGAAAAAUAAGCAUUUUCUUUCUAAUGGAUGUUGUCCACAUAGUGUGGAGACGUGUUGCUAAAGGAGAAGCCUUGCAGAUUCACUGGAGGAUGGUCCUCCCCUUCCUUCUCUGACUCCACUGACCACUAGAAUGUUCCUUCCAUGACACGUGUCAGAAUUGUAUGAAGGGUGCUCAUAAGGUCAGAUGACUGUCUGGGUUAAAGGAACACUGCUGUGACUGCACUCCGGUCAAAGAUUCUCCUGGGACUGGAAGUGGAAAGUUUCAGCUGACGAGACCCGGAGAGAAAGCAGCCCUCCAUUAAGACCUGCCGUUUGUUAGGAUUCUCACUGGAAACCUCAAAAGGUGAAGAAGAAGCUGUGGGUCAAAGAGAUUCAUUGGUCGGAUUGGACUCCAGUUCCACCAUAGAUACUGUACUUCGAGACUGAGAGAAGCAUAAAACAGGACGGGUUAUCAGAACACUGUGUAAAACAGUCAUCUGUGAACACAAGACAUGUGGAGAACUAUGAAUGAUAGCCUACUCUACGUGAAUCUGAUGCCUCCGACGGAGCAUGGUGCUGGAAUGACCCGAGUUGGGGAUUUGAUUCCCCAAUACUGAAUCAACUGUAAAUUGCUAAAUGACCACAUCAUAUUCAAUCAUGUGUUUAAACUUUUCAAGUCCUCUGAAUGUGACUUGUCUGUA